GUAAGGAAUAUUGCACAAUGGGGGAAACCCUGAUGCAGCAACGCCGCGUGGGCGACGAAGGCCUUCGGGUCGUAAAGCCCUUUUCUGGGGGAAGAGAGCGGACGGUACCUCAGGAAUAAGUCUCGGCUAACUACGUGCCAGCAGCCGCGGUAAAACGUAGGAGGCGAGCGUUAUCCGGAUUUACUGGGCGUAAAGCGCGUGCAGGCGGUUAUGCAAGUUGUGCGUAAAAUCUCCUGGCUUAACUGGGAGGGGCCGUGCAAUACUGCAUGACUUGAGGGCAGGAGAGGGAAGCGGAAUUCCCGGUGUAGCGGUAAUAUGCGCAGAUAUCGGGAGGAACACCAGUGGCGAAGGCGGCUUUCUGGCCUGUCUCUGACGCUAAGACGCGAAAGCUAGGGGAGCGAACGGGAUUAGAAACCCCGGUAGUCC
rnacentral:rRNA from 1 species